rnacentral:rRNA from 1 species
AGAGCGAACGCUGGCGGCAGGCCUAACACAUGCAAGUCGAACGAACUCUUCGGAGUUAGUGGCGGACGGGUGAGUAACACGUGGGAACGUGCCUUUAGGUUCGGAAUAACUCAGGGAAACUUGUGCUAAUACCGAAUGUGCCCUUCGGGGGAAAGAUUUAUCGCCUUUAGAGCGGCCCGCGUCUGAUUAGCUUGUUGGUGGGGUAAUGGCCCACCAAGGCUACGAUCAGUAGCUGGUCUGAGAGGAUGACCAGCCACAUUGGGACUGAGACACGGCCCAAACUCCUACGGGAGGCAGCAGUGGGAAUCUUGCGCAAUGGGCGAAAGCCUGGCGCAGCCAUGCCGCGUGUAUGAUGAAGGUCUUAGGAUUGUAAAUUCUUCACCGGGACGAUAAUGACGGUACCGGAGAAGAGCCCGCUAACUCGUGCCAGCAGCCGC